rnacentral:lncRNA from 1 species
UUCGUUUUAUAUAUUUUAUUUGCUGAAUACUUUACACUUGAUGCAGGCACGUGCAAUGGAUUUAUCUUUUUAAUUAUUAAAAGCUAUAUUUUUUUUAAUUUAUUGAUCUAUUAUUAUUUAAUAUUCCUUCAAAAAGGAAAGAUUAGAUUCUCUUUGUAUUUUUAUACUUAUUUUUUUUAGUCACUAUCACAUUCUCUACCUUUUUUGGCCAUAAAAAGUUAACAAAACUCAGUGCUCUUUUGAUUCUUUUUUUGGUCAUGCAUUCAUUUUGUAAUAUAAUAUUUAGGAGCAUAUUUGUUUCUUCACAAAUAUGUCUCUGAUCUUUGUAUUUCAUUCUCUGUAGUUGAAAUUUGUUACAGAUUGGAGUUUGUUGCAGAUUGAAGUGGCAGUUUGCCCCAGUUCAACUUUCUUUGUUCAUUUCUCGAGAAAAUGGGGGUUCUAGGAAAGUUUUGAGAGUGGGAGGAAGUUGGGCUUGGAAUCUGUUUUUAGUUGGUUUUCUUUGGCUUUGAGAGAGAGCUGAGGCUUUGAGGAGAAAGAGAGGCCGUGAACUUUAUUAUGUAUAUAAGUGUGCUAUUUAAUACAGUCGAAUGUAUGUGUAUUCCAAUAAAGUGAAAAGUACGAGAUAUUAGCUCAAAAUCUCAAAUCUUAUAAUUGGGUUCUUUUUUAUAUUGAACCGAAUCGAAUAGAACGGAAUCAAAUUGAAUUACUUUUGUUCGGUUCAGUUCUAGGGAUGGCAAAUGGUUCGCUUUUGUUAGUUCGGUUUGAGGUUUCAUGUAACCCUACCCCAAAUGAAAAAAAAAUUUAAAUAAUUUUUUGAGAAUAAAGUGAGGAAUGGGAGAAAAAUAAUCUUCAAAUUCUUAAAUGGAUGGGGUUUGAUUUUGUACUUCCCACCCUAAUUCCCAUUAUAUAUAAAUAUAUUUUUAAUUCUUAUUUAAUAAUUUUAUUUUAUCAA